AUUUGGAAAGUUACAUUAGCACUAUUGGAGUUGACUUCAAAAUCCGCACAGUUGAGCAGGAUGGAAAACCAUUAAACUCCAGAUUGUAAGUUUUAAGUGCGUUAUUAGUUUGUUCUGUCUAUGAAAGCUGUAAAUUUCAGUUUCAGCUUUGAUUUAGUGUUUGAUUGGGAAUCUGUGUAAAUAAGGAAUGCCAUAUAAACAUUUCUUUGCCAUAGGAUGGAAAUUUUGCAUAAAAGUAUGCUUAAAUUCUGUAAAAAUUUGAAGGAUAGCUUUAUUCGAAAUGAAAUCCAGAGAAUUCACACUCUUGA